UGCUCACCUCCAGUACACUACCCUGGAGCACAGACGUUCCCAUAGCAAAAACCCCCUAUGCUCUAAUCAUGAUGUACAAAUAUGCUCACCGGAAAGAAUGAAAAGGAAGACAAUUCUUUUUAAGUAGGAACCAGUGAGGUGACAGUUGAUACAGGAUUAUGGUACCAUCCUCUUAAUUCACCCCAGAAACAAAAGUAGAAAACAUAUCACAUCACAAAGGUUAGGACUCGAGUACAAACACGCCCACUUCUGACCUUUGCACAUGUGAGCUGUAAUGACCACCCAAAAAUCCCAGGCACCCCCGCCACCCCCUGCCGCAGUCUGGAAGGUACCUCUAGGGACAGUUAUCUCCACUCAUACUUCCAGAGUCUGUCUCGCCCCUGCAGCAAAGAAACAAACUCUGGGUAGGAUAGGCAGGGGCUGCCUAUUUUACAUAGUGAGACUAGGCUUUCCAGGACAGUCCCAAUUUUAAAAUGCUGCACAUAUGGGCACACAAACAUUCACCCACCAAGUGGAACUGGAAAAGGCGAUCAAAUCUCGCAUCUUCAACCCUUUACAAAGUUUGGAAUGCAGUCCUACUUUAGAUUAAUUAGGAGAGACUAAUCUCCUUUAGAGAAAAAGUCAGGAGAUAAAAUGGGUGGAAAAAGAAAAGCCAGAAAUUCCACCUAGUUGAUUUUCAGGUUUGGCCUCUGGGGCAACAGCAGCAAACACUCAUCCAGCCCAGGAAGCAACUGGAAAACCAGGGAGGUGGGGAGGAGGAAGAAGCCUGUCUGCCUGGUUUAGUGACCAGAAGAACGAUGACCUUGUGACCAGGAGGCCUCUGAAGUCAGCUCGGAAAACUAAGCCAAGCUCAAAUGAGACAAGCAAAACCAAUUACAGUCGCAGAAUUGACAGGCAACCCCAGGACUAGGUGCGUGAGCACAUGUGCCAGCCCCAGGGCCAGCCCCUGCCCCACGCCCACAGGUCCACAGCCUGCACACGUGAUCCAGGACUUUGCCCUUGCUUUCCCCUAACCAGGAGUGCUCCAGUGAAGUCCACACUAUUAGCCUUCAACAGAAAUGACUUCCUCCCUCACUUCUUCCUCUCACUCAAGACCACAGAAGAUGAUGUUUCAAACCAAAGGUCUGGGUUUUUAAAGCUGUCUCCAGCAGGUGCCACAAGUUCUUCAAAACAUUCCACACUCCCAAACAGACACAAGCAGGAGCACAUGGCUGCUGUGCUCUCACAUGACAACGCAAGGGCACUGUAAUGGAGGGACUUGGUGAAGGCUGGGGACAGGGAGUGGGCAAGGAUAACACUUACCAUCUCAUCCAGGGCGUAGCGCAAGAGGCCGUGCUCGUAAAGGAUGAAGAACCGUCGCUGCCAUUUCUGCAACGGAGCACAAGGUGGGUGGUUAGGAGGAUCUGGGUCCUGGCCCCAGAGCUUGGCUUCUGGAGUUCCCACGUCUGACAAGUCCAUAUCUAAGGAAGGUCACUCCACAGAUUCCACUUCUGGGGCAGGUGGCAGGAAAAGAGGGACCCGAGGCACAAGAAUGUUGAUUCAUCAGCCAGGACUGGGCUGGGAGACAGGCCCAAAUCACAUGAGUGAUUGAGGCUUAAUAAGAAGUCUUUUUUUUUUUUUUUUUUUAACACUUGGAAGCUCCUCAGGAGCAGAAACAACGUGUGGUUACCUUUUUGUAUUCCUGAUGGUGCUCAGCAUAGAAUGCAUCACAUGACAUGUGUCAAUAUUUAUUUGAUGAAUGAUCUGACAUGACAUGGAAUAAUCCAGGAAUGCCAAGGCAUGGAUUCACCACUUCUGAAAAAACCUGGGAAACUGCUACAAAAGGGGUUGUUCUGAUGAUCCACUGGCAAAGAGGAGGCACAAAAACAGCCAGGCUCCAGAAUUCACUGAGGUGAAAUGAGUUAAUGAAAAUCAAAACAGAGGAGCAGCAAGACCAGUGGAAAUAACUCCAAUAUCCAAGGAGUGACCAACUGGCACAGAUCAUCCCCCGCUCUACUCUCCCUCCAAAAGCCAGACCACUGGGAAGUGUCCACGGCGGUCAGAUGCCAUCAGGAGCUGAAAUGAAAUGGACUAUGCGGUGUAUGUCUUCCUUUGUGUGGGGAGAAGGGACUUGUCCAUAAUGCGAGUCUGCUGGCCCAGGUCAUGAAUGACAGGCACAGCUCCCAGCCCCAAAUCAUCACAAGGGUCCAUGACCUAUUUUCAACAUUUCAACAAGCCCAAUCCAGCCUGGGCAGCAUGGUGAAACCCCGUCUCUACAAAAAAUACAAAAAUUAGCUAGGCAUGGUGAUGCACGCCUGUAGCCCCAGCUACUCAGGAGGCUGAGUGGAAGCAAUUUAUAGGGUGCAAGCGGCAGCACUGUAAGAAAGUUUGUGAGGAAGGAGAGUUUUGUAACCGGAGUCAAAUCCAGAGGGGCUUCCUGGCAGAGAAACAAACCACAGGUCAGGCCAAUGAUGGUCCCAGCUCUAGCGGGGCCCUGCCCUGGGCAAUGCACAUUUUAGUAAGAGGUAAGCCAAGGCCUCUGGGCCCCCAACCCUUCACUAGUGCUAGUGUGCUGAACCCCUGGCUCAGGAAGAAGGGAGGUGCUACAGGGGCAGGCCUUGGCAUGGAAGGAAUUGGGAGCUGCUCGGUAUAAUGCAAACCUUUAACUGCUCUUUUGCCUCUUCCAUUUUACUGUUCCUAGAGUCAACCUGACCCACAAAACAGGCAACACCCACAUGAGAGCUCCUCAUUCUGAAGGGAGCACUACACACAACUAUGUAUAAUUGAGACCUUUUCUGUACAACGUACAAGUGCACCAAAUGGGGGAGCCCUGCUGGUCCUGCUAUCCCAGGAUCCACUGUUCAACUCUCCAUCUCCCUCUUCCACUCUGCCAGUUCACCCUUAGAUGGGUCCCUUCUCUGGUUCCUCCCUGAGAGUUGGCUCUGAUGCCCUUACCCGAGACCGGUGCACUGGGUUGUCAAAGUCGG
rnacentral:lncRNA from 1 species